AUUUUGUAUCAGAUCUUCGAAAUAUUAUAUUAGGUCUUGUAACUGAUGGAUUUAAUCAUUUCAAAGAUCUUAGAUCUAAAUGCAGUUGUUGGCUAGUAAUUUUAACUAUAUAAUUUGCCUCCUUCAUUGUGCAUGGGGAAAGAAAGUUUGAUGUUGAGUUUAUUGAUUCUGGGACCAAAGCAGCUAGAUAAUGACAUAGAUGUUUAUUUGACACCAUUUGUAGAUAACUUUAUAUUGUUAUAGAGUGAUGUGAUGUAUGAUGCAGUUACGAAAUCUACAUUCAUUUUAAAAGCUAUUUAGAUGUGGACAAUACAUGACUUCCCUGUUUGUGGAAAUGUAUCUAGAUGGCCCAUUAAGGAAAAAAUUACAUGCCCUAUUUGUCGUGAAGAUACAUGUUCCCCAUGGCUAUUACAUGGUAGAAGAUUUUUUGACUUGAGUCUUUCAUUUUGCAUGAAAAGGAGUUGGUUUAAUGAACGCAUUGAAAAUGGCAUUGGGCCGAAGAUAAAGAAUUGUAAAGAAGAUUUUAAUGAUGUUGAUAAAAUUGCAAAUGAUUGGGGAAAAAUUUACAAUUCAAUCAAAAGUAAUGUGGAAGAAAAAGUCAAUAUUUUUCAUGCUACCAUAUUGAAAUGUAACUUUAAUAAUAUUUCUUUCUAUUUUAUUUAAUACUUCUAAUGACGUGUAGUAUAUCGUGAGAUGAUUAAUGUUUAAUUUGCAGACUUUACUUAUCCAUCAUAAUUUUGAUAUAAUACAUGUGGAAAAGAAUAUUUAUGAGAUCCUCAUCAAUAUACUUUUGGAUGUGAAAGAAAAAUCUAAAGAUGACAUUAACUCUCGUAAGGACUUGGUAGAUAUGAACAUUAGGUAUGAUUUACAUCCUAAGAGCAGAGGAAAUAAAUUCUACUUACCUAUUGCCCUUCACACUUUAUCAAAAGCAGAAAAAUAAAUAUUUUGCAAAAGGAUUGCUAAUGUGAGAUUACCUGAUAGUUUUGAUUCUAAUAUUGGAAAUUGCAUUUCAGUGGAAAAAUGUAAGAUAGUUUAAUUUAAGUCUAAUGAUUGUCACAUUUUAAUGCAACAAUUACUAACAAUUGCAUUGAAAGGACUUCUACCUAAAAGAACAAAGAACUUCAUUUUUAAAUUGUAUUCAUUUGUCAAUGAAAUAUGUCAAUGAGUUAUAGAUAGGAAUAAAGUUGAAAAUUUAGAAGCGGGCAUUUCUGAAACUUUAUGCAUAUUCAAAAUGUAUUUUUCAUCUUUCUUUUUGAUAUUAUGGUUCAUUUAACAAUCCAUAUUAGGAGAGAAGCUCAUCUAUGUGGACCAAUUCAAUAUCAUUGGAUGUACCCAUUUGAGAGAUAAUAUUCCUUUAAGUUAUUUCCAAAAGUGCAAUUUAUUAUCAAUUUGGUUUUAUAUUUUAUGAGAUUUUUGGUAAAUGUAUAGGUAUAUGAAAGUGUUGAAAGGGUAUACUAUGAAUCGUCCAGACUUGAAGGGUGUAUAGUUGAACGAUACAUUGUUGAAGAAAAUACGAUAUUUUGUAGCAAGUAUAUAAAACAAGCAUCUAAAGUAGGCUCUAAACCUGCAUGCAAUGAAGAAUAUGAAAGUGACUUCUUAGUUUUAGGGCGUUCAAUUUCUAAAGGAAAGCCACUUGUACUACUAGAUGAGUUGUUGAAAGUUGUCCAUCGCUAUGUGUUGCUAAAUCGAACAGAAGUAGCACCCUAUAUACAGUAUGUUUGUGAAAUAAACACAUUGUUAAAUUUUAUAUUCUUCAACCAUAUUAAAUUUUUAAUAUUUUGUUUUUAACUUAGAAUGCAUAUGGAUGAACUCAAAAGUUUUGACAAACGAGAAUUUAUUGCAUAAGAAACACAUUGAUACUUUUUCUGUUUUGCUAGAUGAUAAGGUUGACAUACAGAUAAGAAAUAAUUAAUGUUUAAUUUUGUUGUUUAUUCUUUUAUUUCUAACAUGUCCAAAAUAAAAAUAGAUCAAAGGUCAACUGUUCUUGGGCAAUGUUUCAAAUACUUUAAAGUGGCAUGCACAUAAUCCUAGAUGCUAGUCCAUGUCAUAUUCUAGUUUUGUAAUUGAUUACGCUCAAAGAAUAAUGCGGUAGUUGUAGUAUUGUUUUGGGGUGUCGUAUCCACAGGGUGAUGAAAAAUAAUCUAAAGAAUCAAAAGCCAGGGUUUUGUUGUGAUUUUAUGUAAAUAUAACGUGUCAAUUGAAAUAGAAUUCAAAUAACAAUGUAUAAGUUAAGGAAAUUUAAAUCAAUGUUUGAAGCAGUGAAGUGCUGGAAUUUCCUCAAUUAGAUUGGAUCAAUCAACGUCAAUUUUGCAUGAAGAUACUCAAUUAAAGGUUUUUUUUUUAUCCAAACACUUUAAUUGGAAGAUUUACACAUUCAAACCCUUCUUUAAUUCCUUGAGAAUUUCAAAUAUGGAU
rnacentral:lncRNA from 1 species